UUCAACAAAGUCAGUUGUUAAAUAAUGUAUCAAUAUUUGAUAACUAAAAAGUCCACCAAUAUAAAACUAAUUAUAAACCAUUAUUUCCCUAAAGGACUAUUGAAUGUUUAGCCCAUGUUGCUAGAAUCUAUCACCUAAUCAGACAUUUCAGAAUUUGGGACUUCUGAUCAGAGCCUGAAACUAAGAAUUAUUAAGAUAGUUAUCAAUUUAAAAUAAACUUAGGCAUACAACAAUUCUCUGCGUUCUGGUUCUGGAAUUGUUUCAAAGUUUAAGGUAAUCAAUCAUGUGCAAUUAAUUCCAAUUCCAAUUACUCAUCUCUUCCCUCGUGAUCGCAUUUUCCACCAAUCAGAAAGUUGAAAACUUGUCUCAAAUUUCCUCUGGAUGGCCGAGCAUCUGUUGCAAACUUGCAUAAAUAUACAAGCCGUCGCCUCAUAUCCCAUUUAGUGACUUGUGCUGCCUCGAAGGAUUUCCCAUCAUCAAACUUACCUUGAAGAAAGAAAUGUAAACACAGGGACCAAAGAUUAGUGAUGGACUUAUUAUAAAGCAUCAAAACUCACAAUAUUCAAGAAUACGAAUGCAGAAAACUUAGUUUGAGCCUGGAUUUGCAAGCAUAGAUCUAACUCUUACUCAUUAAAUCUACUCUCUUAUCAUCUAUUGCAUAGAACAUCAUGCCAACUUACUCAUCCUACAACCAAUUUAAGCCUAAUGACCUUUUGAGCUUCACACACAGUGAUGGACAUGCAAUAGCAGCAUAGACAAGUGAAAAUGUAUUAUAUUUGUUCAAAGUCAGACGCUUAUUGUGUUUCAAACUACAUGAAUAUUUUCAUCUUGAGAUAAAGAAAAUGGAAAGACUAUUCUAAGUGUACAAUUAUGCUGUAAUCAUUCAUUUUGGUUUUAACUUUCCUAUGCUUAAUGUUUCCUACAUAAUUCCCUUACUCUAUUUGACAAUCAGUUUUUAAGUAUUCAGUAAAUAAAUAUGAACAUGUCUCUCCACCCUCCUCUCUCUCUCUCUGUAUCAAAAUUGUCUUAAAAACAUAAAUUUUACAUCAAUAAUACUUGAAAAAUGAUAUGAUGAAUAUGCAACAAUAACUUUGAUGCAUUUAUUAUAUAGUAAGUGAGAUAUGGGCUUCUUAACUAAAGUUUUCUAACAAAGUGAAAGAUAUACAGAUCCG
rnacentral:sRNA from 1 species